AGAGUUUGAUCAUGGCUCAGAUUGAACGCUGGCGGCAGGCCUAACACAUGCAAGUCGAACGGUAACAGGAAGCAGCUUGCUGCUUCGCUGACGAGUGGCGGACGGGUGAGUAAUGUCUGGGAAGCUGCCUGAUGGAGGGGGAUAACUACUGGAAACGGUAGCUAAUACCGCAUAAUGUCGCAAGACCAAAGAGGGGGACCUUCGGGCCUCUUGCCAUCGGAUGUGCCCAGAUGGGAUUAGCUUGUUGGUGGGGUAACGGCUCACCAAGGCGACGAUCCCUAGCUGGUCUGAGAGGAUGACCAGCCACACUGGAACUGAGACACGGUCCAGACUCCUACGGGAGGCAGCAGUGGGGAAUAUUGCACAAUGGGCGCAAGCCUGAUGCAGCCAUGCCGCGUGUAUGAAGAAGGCCUUCGGGUUGUAAAGUACUUUCAGCGGGGAGGAAGGGAGUAAAGUUAAUACCUUUGCUCAUUGACGUUACCCGCAGAAGAAGCACCGGCUAACUCCGUGCCAGCAGCCGCGGUAAUACGGAGGGUGCAAGCGUUAAUCGGAAUUACUGGGCGUAAAGCGCACGCAGGCGGUUUGUUAAGUCAGAUGUGAAAUCCCCGGGCUCAACCUGGGAACUGCAUCUGAUACUGGCAAGCUUGAGUCUCGUAGAGGGGGGUAGAAUUCCAGGUGUAGCGGUGAAAUGCGUAGAGAUCUGGAGGAAUACCGGUGGCGAAGGCGGCCCCCUGGACGAAGACUGACGCUCAGGUGCGAAAGCGUGGGGAGCAAACAGGAUUAGAUACCCUGGUAGUCCACGCCGUAAACGAUGUCGACUUGGAGGUUGUGCCCUUGAGGCGUGGCUUCCGGAGCUAACGCGUUAAGUCGACCGCCUGGGGAGUACGGCCGCAAGGUUAAAACUCAAAUGAAUUGACGGGGGCCCGCACAAGCGGUGGAGCAUGUGGUUUAAUUCGAUGCAACGCGAAGAACCCUACCUGGUCUUGACAUCCACGGAAGUUUUCAGAGAUGAGAAUGUGCCUUCGGGAACCGUGAGACAGGUGCUGCAUGGCUGUCGUCAGCUCGUGUUGUGAAAUGUUGGGUUAAGUCCCGCAACGAGCGCAACCCUUAUCCUUUGUUGCCAGCGGUCCGGCCGGGAACUCAAAGGAGACUGCCAGUGAUAAACUGGAGGAAGGUGGGGAUGACGUCAAGUCAUCAUGGCCCUUACGACCAGGGCUACACACGUGCUACAAUGGCGCAUACAAAGAGAAGCGACCUCGCGAGAGCAAGCGGACCUCAUAAAGUGCGUCGUAGUCCGGAUUGGAGUCUGCAACUCGACUCCAUGAGGUCGGAAUCGCUAGUAAUCGUGGAUCAGAAUGCCACGGUGAAUACGUUCCCGGGCCUUGUACACACCGCCCGUCACACCAUGGGAGUGGGUUGCAAAAGAAGUAGGUAGCUUAACCUUCGGGAGGGCGCUUACCACUUUGUGAUUCAUGACUGGGGUGAAGUCGUAACAGGGUAACCGUAGGGGAACCUGCGGUUG
rnacentral:rRNA from 1 species